GGCUCCAAUCAUCUUUUUAAUAAGCAUCAUGAUACUGCUUUCACCUCAAAGAAGAGGUAUGGGGAUGCAGCUCCAUCCUUCCUUGGCAGAAAUGGGGGACCAUGGAGGAUUAAGAGAGCACAUGCUAUAUCCAACUUCACUGAGUCAAGAUAAAAUGAGGCAAGCUUUUAGCCAAUUUGAUUGAACCCCUGUGGUACACGUAUAAGGAUGUUGUCAAGCAUCACACAGGACAGAAAGGAUAAAGGAGUAGAGAAGGAUGGAGAAAGGAAGAGAGUAGAAGACACUAGGAAAACAGCACAUCCUAUUAUUUUAAAAAUCCUAGCCUUCUACAUUUUCUGCUUUUAUGUGCUUUUUAUAUUGGAUCUUUUAAAGAGGUUUGAACAGCUUCUAUUUCACCACAAUGAGAUUGGAGUCCAAAAUUGAGCAGAAGUCAGACUAAAGAGAGGACGGAAGUGAGCUUCUGUGAGUUGUCUUCUGGAUAAGGGUCCAAUAUAUAUGAAAGUCCUCAAGGAACAAGUGUGGAAUUAAUCUCUAUGACCCUCUUUGUGAGUAAAAAUACAAAGGC